CCCUCUGUAGCUCAGUGGUUAGAGCACUGGUCUUGUAAACCAGGCGUCGAGAGUUCGAGUCUUUCCAGAGGCU
rfam:Nematostella vectensis strain CH2 x CH6 NEMVEscaffold_32_Cont5601, whole genome shotgun sequence.